UUAUUUAUCUCUGUAAACAGAGAGAGAGAGAGAGAGAGAAACAAGCUUACUUUUGGAGAUAUUUUACACAGAGGAAGGAAGACAGUGAUUCAAAGAUACUGAAACUGCAAUGCUGUACCCAUAUACAUAUAUACAGAUUACACCUAGAAGCCUUUAGAAUCAGUGGCAAACUCCCAUGAUUUGUUUUUCUGGCCACCAUCAGUAUGUGACCUUCCUUUUCAAUCUGCAACAGCAGUUGCUCCAUUUCCUGAUUUAUGGAACUUUUAAAAACAUGUUUAUUCUCCAUAUCCCAGUCCUGAAGCCAGGCAACGCUCAAGCAUCUGGAUGGCAUCCACUGCAGAGGUGAUAACCUCACUUCAAAUCUCCUGAUGGCCUCCCCUAAUGGCUUUACAUAGAUGUUAAAUAGCAUUCGGAAUAAUGCUGAUCCCUGAGGAAUCCAUAUCUCAGGGUCCAAAGU